rnacentral:rRNA from 1 species
UACGUAGGGGGCUAGCGUUGUCCGGAAUCAUUGGGCGUAAAGGGUGCGUAGGCGGUCCGUUAAGUCUGAUGUGAAAUCCCUGGGCUCAACUCAGGAACUGCAUUGGAAACUGGCGGACUGGAGUACCGGAGAGGGAAGCGGAAUUCCUGGUGUAGCGGUGAAAUGCGUAGAUACCAGGAGGAACACCGGUGGCGAAGGCGGCUUCCUGGCCGAGUACUGACGCUGAGGCACGAAAGCGUGGGGAGCGAACGGG